rnacentral:rRNA from 1 species
CAGUAGCCACGGGAGUACGUAGGGGGCAAGCGUUGUCCGGAAUCAUUGGGCGUAAAGAGCGUGUAGGCGGCUCGGUAAGUCCGCUGUGAAAGUCCAGGGCUCAACCCUGGAAUGCCGGUGGAAACUGUCGAGCUAGAGUCCGGAAGAGGCGAGUGGAACUCCUGGUGUAGCGGUGAAAUGCGCGGAUAUCAGGAAGAACACCAAUGGCGAAGGCAGCUCGCUGGGACGGUACUGACGCUGAGACGCGAAAGCGUGGGGAGCAAACAGGAUUAGAUACCCCAGUAGUCCCUGUCUCUUAUAC